rnacentral:rRNA from 1 species
UACCAAGGCGAUGAUGCAUAGCCGAGUUGAGAGACUGAUCGGCCACAUUGGGACUGAGACACGGCCCAAACUCCUACGGGAGGCAGCAGUAGGGAAUCUUCCACAAUGGACGCAAGUCUGAUGGAGCAACGCCGCGUGAGUGAAGAAGGUUUUCGGAUCGUAAAGCUCUGUUGUUGGUGAAGAAGGAUAGAGGUAGUAACUGGCCUUUAUUUGACGGUAAUCAACCAGAAAGUCACGGCUAACUACGUGCCAGCAGCCGCGGUAAUACGUAGGUGGCAAGCGUUGUCCGGAUUUAUUGGGCGUAAAGCGAGCGCAGGCGGAAGAAUAAGUCUGAUGUGAAAGCCCUCGGCUUAACCGAGGAACUGCAUCGGAAACUGUUUUUCUUGAGUGCAGAAGAGGAGAGUGGAACUCCAUGUGUAGCGGUGGAAUGCGUAGAUAUAUGGAAGAACACCAGUGGCGAAGGCGGCUCUCUGGUCUGCAACUGACGCUGAGGCUCGAAAGCAUGGGUAGCGAACAGGAUUAGAUACCCUGGUAGUCCAUGCCGUAAACGAUGAGUGCUAAGUGUUGGGAGGUUUCCGCCUCUCAGUGCUGCAGCUAACGCAUUAAGCACUCCGCCUGGGGAGUACGACCGCAAGGUUGAAACUCAAAGGAAUUGACGGGGGCCCGCACAAGCGGUGGAGCAUGUGGUUUAAUUCGAAGCAACGCGAAGAACCUUACCAGGUCUUGACAUCUAGUGCCAUUUGUAGAGAUACAAAGUUCCCUUCGGGGACGCUAAGACAGGUGGUGCAUGGCUGUCGUCAGCUCGUGUCGUGAGAUGUUGGGUUAAGUCCCGCAACGAGCGCAACCCUUGUUAUUAGUUGCCAGCAUUAAGUUGGGCACUCUAAUGAGACUGCCGGUGACAAACCGGAGGAAGGUGGGGAUGACGUCAAGUCAUCAUGCCCCUUAUGACCUGGGCUACACACGUGCUACAAUGG